GACGAACGCUGGCGGCGCGCCUAACACAUGCAAGUCGAACGGAGUCACGAGGAGCUUGCUUUUCUUGACUUAGUGGCGAACGGGUGAGUAACGCGUGAGUAACCUGCCCUGGAGUGGGGGACAACAGUUGGAAACGACUGCUAAUACCGCAUAAGCCCACGGAUCCGCAUGGAUCUGCGGGAAAAGGAUUUAUUCGCUUCAGGAUGGACUCGCGUCCAAUUAGCUAGUUGGUGAGGUAACGGCCCACCAAGGCGACGAUUGGUAGCCGGGCUGAGAGGUUGAACGGCCACAUUGGGACUGAGACACGGCCCAGACUCCUACGGGAGGCAGCAGUGGGGGAUAUUGCACAAUGGGGGAAACCCUGAUGCAGCGACGCCGCGUGGAGGAAGAAGGUUUUCGGAUUGUAAACUCCUGUCGUUAGGGACGAUAAUGACGGUACCUAACAAGAAAGCACCGGCUAACUACGUG
rnacentral:rRNA from 1 species